rnacentral:tRNA from 1 species
AUCUCUUAGUUGUAGGUUCAAUUCCUACUUUUCUA